CUUCAGGAAACUGAUUGCAGGUUUUCUUGUGCAUCAUCUUUAGAAAAAGCUUCCUUCUGGGACGACAGCCAUACAGAUGAAUUUGAUGCAGUGUGCGGCGUAUGGUCUGAGCAGUGACAGGCUGACCCCCCCCACCCUUUCAACCACUGCAGCAAUCAUACGUCUAUUUCCCAAAGACAAUCUCUGGAUAUGACGCUGAGCACGUGCACACAACUUCUUUGGUCGACUAAGACGAGGC